rnacentral:rRNA from 1 species
GGGUGGUAAUGCCGGAUGCUCCACAUGGGUGCAUGCCUGUGUGGGAAAGGGUUUACCGGUAUGGGAUGGGGUCGCGUCCUAUCAGCUUGACGGCGGGGUAAUGGCCCACCGUGGCUUUGACGGGUAGCCGGCCUGAGAGGGCGACCGGCCACAUUGGGACUGAGAUACGGCCCAGACUCCUACGGGAGGCAGCAGUGGGGAAUAUUGCACAAUGGGGGGAACCCUGAUGCAGCGACGCCGCGUGCGGGAUGACGGCCUUCGGGUUGUAAACCGCUUUUGAUUGGGAGCAAGCGUUAAGUGAGUGUACCUUUCGAAUAAGCGCCGGCUAACUACGUGCCAGCAGCCGCGGUAAUACGUAGGGCGCAAGCGUUGUCCGGAAUUAUUGGGCGUAAAGGGCUCGUAGGCGGCUCGUCGCGUCUGGUGUGAAAGUCCAUCGCUUAACGGUGGAUCUGCGCCGGGUACGGGCGGGCUGGAGUGCGGUAGGGGAGACUGGAAUUCCCGGUGUAACGGUGG